rnacentral:sRNA from 1 species
CCGGGGUUCAGCGCUCGGGUGAGGAGCUGGUGGCGUCGGCAGGUUCGAGGCGAUUCGAGCUCCAGCUAGGAUGAUCGAGGUUGUUUGCAACGACCGUCUGGGGAAGAAGGUCCGCGUUAAAUGCAACACGGAUGAUACCAUCGGGGACCUUAAGAAGCUGAUUGCAGCCCAAACUGGUACCCGUUGGAACAAGAUUGUCCUGAAGAAGUGGUACACGAUUUUUAAGGACCACGUGUCUCUGGGGGACUGUAUCCUUUGUAUGACUUUUUGAGGAAGUAUCUACAUACCCAGCCUCGGUUAUCUGUUCAAAACUAAAGUCUGCAUGAGCUUAUGCAUAUUAAGUGUUUAACUUAAUACGUGGCACAUGGUGAGCACUUAGAAAAUGGGAGCUAGGUAAUUAUUUGGUUGGGGAGGAGAGUGGUUGGUGAAAUAGUUUGACUUCAAGUUCAAAAUAUUUAUUACUGACCUCCACCUGAGUGCUGGACAGUAGGUCAGGGUGGGGUGAGACUCAGGCAUAUCUAUUGUGCAGAAGGAGCAGAAACUUUUGAAAAUUUUUAUUUUAUUUAUUUAUUUUUUUGAGACAGUCUGGCUCUGUCGCCCAGGCUGGAGUGCAGUGGCACGAUCUUGACCCACUGCAACCUCCACCUCCCGGGUUCAAGCAAUUCUGCCUCAGCUUCCCAAGUAGCUGGGAUUACAGGUGUGUGCCACCACUCCCUGCUAGUUUUUGUAUUUUUAGUAGAGAUGGGGUUCCACCAUGUAUGCCAGGCUAGUCUCAAACUCCUGGCCUCAAGUGAUCCUCCCACCUCGGCCUCCCAAAGUGCUGGGAUUAUAGCCGUGAGCCACUGCGCCUGGCCUAGAAGGAACAGAAACUUUUUUUUUUUUUUUUUUUUUUGAGAUGGAGUUUUGCUCUUGUUGCCCAGGCUGGAGUGCGUGGUACAAUCUUGGCUCACUGCAGCCUCUACUUCCCAGGUUUAAGCGAUUUUCCUGUCUCAGCCUUCCAAGUAGCUGGGAUUACAGGUGCCCACCACCACACCCAGCUAACUUUUUGUAUUUUUAGUAGAGACGGGGUUUCACCGUGUUGACCAGGCUGGUCUCAAACUCCUGACGUCAAGUGAGCCACCUGCUUCGUCCUCUCAAAGUGCUGGGAUUACAGGUGUGAGCCACUGCACCCAGCCAGAAAUUCUUUUGUAAAGUUUUGGUUCUCUCCAAAUAAAAAUGGCCUGGUCCAAAAUGGGCUUCCUUAGCCCUGGGCUGAGACCUCAGGCCACCUGACCCGGCUGUGAAUGGAUGAGAGGGGUGGGGACGGAAGUCAGAGUCAGGAUUCCUUAACACCUUUCCUUCAGAUGAAAUCCACGAUGGGAUGAACCUGGAGCUUUAUUAUCAAUAGAUGAGAAUCCUCAUCUUCCUGCCCCGCUUUCCUCUCCCAUCCUCAUCCCCCACACUGGGAUAGAUGCU